rnacentral:tRNA from 1 species
GGGGUUGUGGCUCAGCAGCAGAGCGCUCACCUAGUACGUGUGUGGCCCUGGGUUCAAUCCUCAACACCA